rnacentral:rRNA from 1 species
UACGGAGGGUGCGAGCGUUGUCCGGAAUCACUAGGCGUAAAGGGCGCGUAGGCGGCCUGAUAAGUAGGGGGUGAAAUCCUGCGGCUUAACCGCAGGGCUGCCUUCUAAACUGUCGGGCUAGAGCACGGUAGAGGCAGAUGGAAUUCCCGGUGUAGCGGUGGAAUGCGUAGAGAUCGGGAAGAACAUCAGUGGCGAAGGCGGUCUGCUGGGCCGUUGCUGACGCUGAGGCGCGACAGCGUGGGGAGCAAACAGG